rnacentral:rRNA from 1 species
CCUACGGGAGGCUGCAGUGGGGAAUAUUGGACAAUGGGGGGAACCCUGAUCCAGCCAUGCCGCGUGUGUGAAGAAGGCCCUCGGGUUGUAAAGCACUUUCAGUGAGGAAGAACGCCUGGUGGUUCAUACCCAUCAGGAAAGACAUCACUCACAGAAGAAGCACCGGCUAACUCCGUGCCAGCAGCCGCGGUAAUACGGAGGGUGCGAGCGUUAAUCGGAAUUACUGGGCGUAAAGCGCGCGUAGGUGGCUUGAUAAGCCGGUUGUGAAAGCCCCGGGCUCAACCUGGGAACGGCAUCCGGAACUGUCAAGCUAGAGUGCAGGAGAGGAAGGUAGAAUUCCCGGUGUAGCGGUGAAAUGCGUAGAGAUCGGGAGGAAUACCAGUGGCGAAGGCGGCCUUCUGGACUGACACUGACACUGAGGUGCGAAAGCGUGGGUAGCAAACAGGAUUAGAUACCCUAGUAGUC